rnacentral:tRNA from 1 species
GUGGACGUAGCUCAGUUGGUCAGAGCGCCAGGUUGUGGCCCUGGAGGUCGUGGGUUCGACCCCCAUCGUUCACCCCA